rnacentral:lncRNA from 1 species
UUUUUUUUUUUUUUUUUUGCUUUUCCUGAUCACUGUGUCAUUCCUUUCCCGGGUGCAUAAAGUGAUGACUGUUGAGGCAAUGCAGUGAGUGGUAAUGUACAUGGCAAUGUUACUGUGCCAGAAUCAUAAAGGAUUUGAUUUUUCCUUGGAAAGGUAGUAAUUAUUGUGGCAUGAAUCAUCUUUUUCUCGAACUUUUGCCUAAUAUUUUGGGAGGCUAUUUCAUACUUUUCCAAAUGUUUGUAUUCAUUUUCCUAUUUGAUCCCUACUGCAAAUAGGGAGAAAUCUUUGUCUUAGUAUAAUAUUCUUUGACCUCAGCUCUAGACAAAAGCACUAUCCUACCAACCGGUGCAUUUAACAAAGAUCAGCGAGCGUUAAACAAAGACCAGCCAGCACCUUAUAUGAUUCAGGGUCACUACCCUCAUAGUGCCUUGGCUUUACUUCAAAGGGAUCUGUACUUGGAGAGAAAAGUCAACUACCUAGACCUCUGUUCCUUCCUUGACAGAACAAGUUUCUCCUUCUGCCCAAAGCCAAGCCUUGCCUGUCUUUCUCUUUCUUUCUUUCUUUCAAUCUCUCUCUCCUUCCUUCCUUCCUUCCCUCCUCCCCCUUCCUCCCUUCCUUCUUUCCUUCCUUCCUCCCUUCCUUUCUUCCUUCCUUCCUUCUCUGUCUUUUCUUUUUAACAGGGUCUUGCUCUGUCGCCCAGGCUUAGAAUGCAGUGGCACAAUCUAAGCUUACUGAAGUCUCAACCUCCCGGGUUCAAACAAUCCUCCCACCUCAGCCACCCGAGUAGCUGGAACCACAGGCACAAACCACCACACAGAUAAUUUUUUGUAUUUUUUGUAGAGGUGGUGCUUCACCAUGUUACCCAGGCUGCUCUCAAAAUCCUGAGCUCAAGAGAUCCUCCUGCCUCAGCCUCCCAAAUAGCUGGAACUACAGGUGUGCACCACCACGCCCAGCUAAUUUUUGUGUUUUUAGUAGAGACGGGGUUUCACCAGGUUAGCCAGAUGGUCUCAAUCUCCUGACCUCGUGAUCCACCCGCCUCAGCCUCCCAAAGUGCUGGAAUUACAGGUGUGAGCCACCGCGCCCGGCCCACAAGACCUUUUUCUAGAGCAAUAAAGAGGAAAUGAGAGUCCUCUUUCCACCUGGGUGGCUAAUUAGGCUGCAAGCUUAGAACCAUCCUUCCAUCCCCUUGGGAGAAACUGAGAAUGAAGAUAAUGCGGUGGAGACUAGGGGCAGCCAAGGGAAACUAGAGCCAUCUACAUCUGAAUCCACCUUCUUGGGACCUACCUUUCUCUUUCUUUUCUCUCUUUCUCUCUUUCUCUUUCUCUCUCUCUCUCUCUUUCUCCCUUUCUCUCUGUCUCUCUGUCUCUCUCUCUUUCUUUCUCUCUUAGAGUUUCGCUCUUGUUGCCCAGGCUAGAGUGCAAUGGUGUGAUCUUGGCUCACUGCAAACCUCUGCCUCCUGGGUUGAAGUGAAGCGAUUCUCCUGCCUCACCCUCCUGAGUAGCUGGGAUGACAGACGCGCACCACCAUGCCUGGCUAAUUUUUGUAUUUUUAAUAGAGACGGGGGGUUCACCAUGUUAGCCAGGUUGGUCUCAAACCCCCAUCCUCAGGUGAUCCACAUGCCUCAGCCUCCCAAAAUGCUGGGAUUACAGGCGUGAGCCACCGCACCUGGCCUUCUUGGGGCUUUUCAGUUGUAUAAGCCCAAUACACUCUAAAGGCUUCGGCCAGUUCGAAUUGGGUUUCAGUCACUUGAAACUGAAAGAGUUCUGACUAACCCAGUACGAGGCCGGAAAGGGCUUGGCGCAACUUGGAGGAAGUGAAAGAAGGCGCAGAGACC